UACGUAGGGUCCGAGCGUUGUCCGGAAUUACUGGGCGUAAAGAGCUCGUAGGUGGUUUGUCGCGUUGUUCGUGAAAACUCACAGCUUAACUGUGGGCGUGCGGGCGAUACGGGCAGACUGGAGUACUGCAGGGGAGACUGGAAUUCCUGGUGUAGCGGUGGAAUGCGCAGAUAUCAGGAGGAACACCGGUGGCGAAGGCGGGUCUCUGGGACGGUACUGGACGCUGAGACGCGAAAGCGUGGGAGGCGA
rnacentral:rRNA from 1 species